rnacentral:rRNA from 1 species
GACGAACGCUGGCGGCGUGCUUAACACAUGCAAGUCGAACGAUGAACCCGGAGCUUGCUCUGGGGGAUUAGUGGCGAACGGGUGAGUAACACGUGAGUAACCUGCCCUGGACUCUGGGAUAAGCGUUGGAAACGACGUCUAAUACCGGAUAGGACCUUGGAUCGCAUGAUCUGGGGUGGAAAGUUUUUUCGGUCUGGGAUGGACUCGCGGCCUAUCAGCUUGUUGGUGAGGUAAUGGCUCACCAAGGCGUCGACGGGUAGCCGGCCUGAGAGGGUGACCGGCCACACUGGGACUGAGACACGGCCCAGACUCCUACGGGAGGCAGCAGUGGGGAAUAUUGCACAAUGGGCGAAAGCCUGAUGCAGCAACGCCGCGUGCGGGCUGACGGCCUUCGGGUUGUAAACCGCUUUUAGUAGGGAAGAAGGGCUUCGGCUUGACGGUACCUGCAGAAAAAGGACCGGCUAACUACGU